rnacentral:rRNA from 1 species
UUCAGCUGCCAUAUCACUCUGCAACUCACAACUGGCAACCCACUGAAGUCAAGCAGGUGUGAGCCUGGUCAGUACCUGGAUGGGAGACCUCCUGGGAAAAACUAGGGUUGCUGUUGGAA